UACGUAGGGUGCAAGCGUUGUCCGGAAUUAUUGGGCGUAAAGGGCUCGUAGGCGGUUUGUCGCGUCGGGAGUGAAAUCCACUGGCUUAACUGGUGGCUUGCUUUCGAUACGGGCAGACUGGAGGUAUGCAGGGGAGAACGGAAUUCCUGGUGUAGCGGUGAAAUGCGCAGAUAUCAGGAGGAACACCGGUGGCGAAGGCGGUUCUCUGGGCAUGUCCUGACGCUGAGGAGCGAAAGUGUGGGGGAGCGAACAGG
rnacentral:rRNA from 1 species